rnacentral:rRNA from 1 species
UACAGAGGUCCCGAGCGUUGUUCGGAUUUAUUGGGCGUAAAGGGUGCGUAGGCGGCGGAGUAAGUCGGGUGUGAAAUCCCGGGGCUUAACCUCGGAAUGGCAUUCAAUACUGCUUCGCUGGAGUACUGGAGAGGAGGCUGGAAUUUACGGUGUAGCAGUGAAAUGCGUAGAUAUCGUAAGGAAGGCCGGUGGCGAAAGCGAGCCUCUGGACAGUUACUGACGCUGAUGCACGAAGGCCAGGGGAGCAAACGGG